GUCGGAAUUGCUAGUAAUCGCGGAUCAGCAUGCCGCGGUGAAUACGUUCCCGGGCCUUGUACACACCGCCCGUCACACCAUGGGAGCCGGUAAUACCCGAAGUCAGUAGUCCAACCACGUGAGGACGCUGCCGAAGGUAGGAUUGGCGACUGGGGUGAAGUCGUAACAAGGUAUC
rnacentral:rRNA from 1 species